rnacentral:rRNA from 1 species
UACGAAGGGGGCUAGCGUUGCUCGGAAUCACUGGGCGUAAAGGGUGCGUAGGCGGGUCUUUAAGUCAGGGGUGAAAGCCCCCAGCCUAACUGGGGAACUGCCAUUGAUACUGAUGGUCUUGAGUACAUUUGAGGUGGGCGGAAUGUGUCAUGUAGCGGUGAAAUGCUUAGAUAUGACACAGAACACCGAUUGCGAAGGCAGCUCACUAAACUGUAACUGACGCUGAGGCACGAAAGCGUGGGGAUCAAACAGG